rnacentral:ribozyme from 16 species
GAAAUUAUGAAACAUUAGGAUGCAAAUUUUCCUUUUCUAUUCUUCUCUUUUUUUUUUUUUUUGGUU